AGUGAAACAGAAUUAAAAAAAUCAGGUUGCUCAUUAGAAGUAGAAGAAAAUCAAGUUGUUUAGAAGCACUUCCUGUGGACGAUGGAUGGACCAGACUCAUCGUAUUCCUGCUUGCUGAUCCACAUCUGUUGGAAGGUGGAGAGAGAGGCAAGAAUGGAGCCUC